rnacentral:rRNA from 1 species
UACGGGGGGAGCAAACGUUGUUCGGAAUCACUGGGCUUAAAGGGCGCGUAGGCGGGCUUCCAAGUCGGUGGUGAAAUCUUUCGGCCCAACCGGAAAAGUGCCGCCGAUACUGGGAGUCUCGAGGGAGGUAGGGGUCGAUGGAACUUUAGGUGGAGCGGUGAAAUGCGUAGAUAUCUAAAGGAACGCCGGUGGCGAAAGCGAAUCGACUGGACCUCUUCUGACGCUGAGGCGCGAAAGCGUGGGGAGCAAACGGGG